rnacentral:rRNA from 1 species
GAUGAACGCUGGGGGCGUGCCUAAUACAUGCAAGUCGAGCGAAUGGAUUAAGAGCUUGCUCUUAUGAAGUUAGCGGCGGACGGGUGAGUAACACGUGGGUAACCUGCCCAUAAGACUGGGAUAACUCCGGGAAACCGGGGCUAAUACCGGAUAACAUUUUGAACCGCAUGGUUCGAAAUUGAAAGGCGGCUUCGGCUGUCACUUAUGGAUGGACCCGCGUCGCAUUAGCUAGUUGGUGAGGUAACGGCUCACCAAGGCAACGAUGCGUAGCCGACCUGAGAGGGUGGUCGGCCAAACAGGGACUGAGACACGGCCCAGACUCCUACGGGAGGCAGCAGUAGGGAAUCUUCCGCAAUGGACGAAAGUCUGACGGAGCAACGCCGCGUGAGUGAUGAAGGCUUUCGGGUCGUAAAACUCUGUUGUUAGGGAAGAACAAGUGCUAGUUGAAUAAGCUGGCACCUUGACGGUACCUAACCAGAAAGCCACGGCUAACUACGUGCCAGCAGCCGCAGUAA